rnacentral:tRNA from 1 species
GGAGAGGUGGCCGAGAGGUCUAAAGCAGUGGAUUGCUAAUCCGCCGUACAAAAUCCAUGUACCGAGGGUUCGAAUCCCUCUCUCUCCC